rnacentral:lncRNA from 1 species
GAUGCUGCGGCUCCGCGCCCGCUGCGAUCCCGGACGGGGACACGCGUGGGGAAUGAGGGUUUGCGGGGGGUUUCUGGCAGCCCAGGUUUCUCCAAAGUCUUGGGGGCAGAGUGGGGAGAGAGCGAGGCAAAGCGGCUGCCCGGGAGCCUGCGCUUACUUUAGGUGUAAAAGCUGCGCCUCCCAGUGCAGAUGGAUUUUUACAACAGUCAUUCUGAAACUUCAUGGAUCAGAUCUGACGGGGUUUUCUCGACCUCCAGAAGCUCAGCUGUCCCCCCGAGCGGACCCACGUCCAUCAGCCGCAAACCAAAAGAGCCAAAUCCUUUCUUAA